rnacentral:rRNA from 1 species
AUACGGAGGAUCCGAGCGUUAUCCGGAUUUAUUGGGUUUAAAGGGUGCGCAGGCGGCCAUUUAAGUCAGCGGUUAAAUCGUGGGGCUCAACCCCAUUCUGCCGUUGAUACUGGGUGGCUUGAUUGCGGUCGAGGUUGGCGGAAUUCGUUGUGUAGCGGUGAAAUGCAUAGAUAUGACGAAGAACACCGAUUGCGUAGGCAGCUGACCAGACCGCAAAUGACGCUCAUGCACGAAAGGGCGGGGGUCGAACAGGAUUAGAUACCCUAGUAGUCCGCACAGUAAACGAUGAAUACUUGUUUUCGGCGAUAUAAUGUCGGAGGCAAAGCGAAAGCGAUAAGUAUUCCACCUGGGGAGUACGCCGGCAACGGUGAAACUCAAAGGAAUUGACGGGGG